rnacentral:rRNA from 1 species
UACGGAGGAUGCGAGCGUUAUCCGGAUUUAUUGGGUUUAAAGGGUGCGCAGGCGGGAGAUCAAGUCAGCGGUAAAAUGUCGGGGCUCAACCCCGGCCGGCCGUUGAAACUGGUUUUCUAGAGUUGGAGAGAAGUAUGCGGAAUUCGUGGUGUAGCGGUGAAAUGCAUAGAUAUCACGAAGAACUCCGAUUGCGAAGGCAGCAUACCGGCUCCAUACUGACGCUGAGGCACGAAAGCGUGGGGAUCGAACAG